UUGCUACUGUGACCCACCUCACAAUUCUUUAAGCAGGGCUGCAGGCAAAAGCAGCAGGAAACAGCAGAGAGAGGCAGCAGGCACACAAAAAGGAGGCAGAAACAACAUAGCUUACUGAGAAAUUUAAGAGAAACACUUCUUUGAAGAUGCUGUAACAAUGGAGAAGACACUUUCCACAAUACUACAGCUGCGAUCUUUGGGAAGAUGGCUAUAAAAGACUGUUGACAGAAACUGAAGUUGAUGUACAAUACACAGACUGUUGAGCACCUACCAGCAACUUGAUGGCCAUAAAUUUCCAAACUGUCUUGAAAGAUAGUCAACAUCUAGUCUGGAUGAAACCAGUGCAUGAAUCACCAAAGUCAGGUAUGGUUUCCCCAGGUAUGGUUGCCGUCGGC